rnacentral:rRNA from 1 species
CUACGGGGGGCAGCAGUGGGGAAUAUUGGACAAUGGGGGAAACCCUGAUCCAGCAAUGCCGCGUGUGUGAAGAAGGCCUGCGGGUUGUAAAGCACUUUCGGUUGGGAGGACUGCUUCUAGCACUAAUAUUGUUGGAAGUUGACGUUACCUUCAGAAGAAGCACCGGCUAACUCCGUGCCAGCAGCCGCGGUAAUACGGAGGGUGCAAGCGUGAAGCGGAAUUACUGGGCGUAAAGCGCGCGUAGGCGGCUAGAUCAGUCGGGUGUGAAAGCCCCGGGCUUAACCUGGGAACUGCAUCCGAUACUGUCUAGCUUGAGUGCAGGAGAGGAGAGUGGAAUUCCACAUGUAGCGGUGAAAUGCGUAGAUAUGUGGAGGAACACCAAUGGCGAAGGCAGCUCUCUGGCCUGAUACUGACGCUGAGGUGCGAAAGCGUGGGGAGCAAACAGGAUUAGAUACCCUAGUAGUC